AUUGAACGCUGGCGGCAGGCCUAACACAUGCAAGUCGAACGAGUGGCGGACGGGUGAGUAAUGUCUGGGAAACUGCCUGAUGGAGGGGGAUAACUACUGGAAACGGUAGCUAAUACCGCAUACCAUCGGAUGUGCCCAGAUGGGAUUAGCUAGUAGGUGGGGGAAAGGCUCACCGAGGCGACGAUCCCUAGCUGGUCUGAGAGGAUGACCAGCCAAACUGGAACUGAGACACGGUCCAGAAUCCUACGUGAGGCAGCAGGGGGGAAGAAUGGACAAGGGGCGCAAGGCUGAUGCAGCCAUGCUGCGGGUAAGAAGAAGGCCUUCGGGUUGUAAAAUACGUUCAGCGGGGAGGCGUUACCCGCAGAAGAAGCACCGGCUAACUCCGUGCCAGCAGCCGCGGUAAUUC
rnacentral:rRNA from 1 species